AUGUAAAUUAUUAUUAAAAAUUUCAAAAUAAAUGUGCAGUAAAUAUUUUUUUAAAUAAGAGAAAUCUUGAAUUAGAAAUUUAUUAAAUAAUUAACUAAUAUUGUGCCAGCAGUUGCGGUUAUACAAUAAAUUUAAAGGAAUUUAUUAGGUAUAUUAAUUAUGAUAUAAAUUGAAAUUAAUAAUAAUAUUUAAAGGUAAAAUUUUUAUAUUAUUUUAUUUCUUAUUUUGUUAAUUAAGAAAUAAAUUAAUAAAUCAGGAUUAGAUACCCUGUUAUUUAAUGUAAAAUAUCUGGAGUAGUAAAAGUUAUAAUCUCAAAACUCAAAAGAUUUGGCGGUAUUUUAUCUUAUUAGAGGAACCUGUUUAUUAAUUGAUAUUCCACAACUAUAAUUUAUUUUUAUUAAUUUACUUGUAUGCCGCCGUCAUGAGUAUAUUUAUAAGUUUAUUUUCUUUAUUUUUAUAAAAAUUUAUGUUAGGUCAAGGUGCAGUUUAUAAAAGAAUAAAAUGGGUUACAUUAAAAAUUAUGAAUGAAAUUAAUAUUAAAUAUUUAUUAAAGAAAUAGGAUUUAAAAGUAAAUUUAUUAUAGAAUUAAUAUGAAUUUAGAUUCUAAAAUAUGUACAUAUUGCCCGUCACUCUUAUAUAAAAUAAGAUAAGUCGUAACAUAGUAGGCGUACCGGAAGGUGCGCCU
rnacentral:rRNA from 1 species